rnacentral:lncRNA from 1 species
GAAAUGAUUCAACCUCAAGUAAAAUCCGCAAGAAUGGCUCUUCAUUAAAAUAAUCUCUGCGGACAAAAAUAAACUGCAGCUUGCAGGCCAAAGCCUCACUUGCAGUUCCAUAUCCAAUUUUCCUAUAGGGUAGUGAGAGUAAGGCCCUGUUCAGAUGGGACUAAAACUUUUAAGUCCCUAUCACAUCGGAUGUUUGAAUAUUAAUUAUAAAUAUUAAACGUAGACUAUUAAUAAAACUCAUCCAUAAUCUUGGACUAAUUCGCGAGACGAAUCUAUUGAGCCUAACUAAUCCAUGAUUAGACUAUGUGAUGCUACAGUAAACAUUCUCUAAUUAUAGAUUAAUUAGGCUUAAAAAAAUUGUCUCGUGAAUUAGCUUUUAUUUAUGUAAUUAGUUUUGUAAGUAGUCUAUAUUUAAUACUCUAAAUUAGUGUCUAAAGACAGGGACUAAAGUUAAGUCCCUGGAUCAAACACCACCUAAGCAGCGCGUACAAAAAAUACAGCGUGAUACAUCACGAAGCACAAAAUAGCACCAAACUAUAUGUAGCUGAAGCAUCGGCACAUUAUCAACCCCCUGCAGGAUUGCUCCUAUGCAAAAUGAACCCAAGAUUUCACAUAAAAAACAUGAUAUAUUGUCUUAGAGAAAAUAAAGUACCUG